CAGCCGCCACGGUAAUACGGAGGGGGCUAGCGUUGUUCGGAAUUACUGGGCGUAAAGCGUGCGUAGGCGGUUCGUUAAGUCUGUUGUGAAAGCCCCGGGCUCAACCUGGGAAUGGCAAUGGAUACUGGCGAGCUAGAGUGUGUCAGAGGAUGGUGGAAUUCCCGGUGUAGCGGUGAAAUGCGUAGAGAUCGGGAGGAACAUCAGUGGCGAAAGCGGCUCACUGGACCAUAACUGACGCUGAGGUGCGAAAGCGUGGGGAGCAAACAGGAUUAGAUACCCCAGUAGUCCCUGUCUCUUAUAC
rnacentral:rRNA from 1 species